UAAGAUACUAGUAGCGGAAUAUUGAACUGGUUAGAAUAGGCAUAACUCAAUUUGAACUAAUUAGUUUUGGUCGUCGAAGUAAAUUUGAGAAGAUGGGGAACAGAUACUGGCACAGAUAGACAGGUUCUUGCUACUUGAGCUAAAGUUGGACGGAUGAAUUAAAAAUUGUAUCGAGCACCAACUUUUUGAAUAAAAUCUGAAAGUUUUUCUGCGCCUUGGUGAAUAGCUACUUUAAUAGCUUCAAUGUCUUCAGUAGCAGUUUCAGCUAUAUCACGAAGGUAUGCGCUAUCUGGACGAUGAGACGAUUCACCCUCCUCGUUUUCAUCUUCUUCCUCACCAAAAUAGGACUUGGAAGAAAUAGCUGUGGCAUCUCGGAAAGAAGAUAAACGUUCUUGAGCUUCGG